rnacentral:rRNA from 1 species
GAUGAACGCUAGCGGAACGCCUAACACAUGCAAGUCGAACGGUCGCCUCGGCGACAGUGGCAAACGAGCGAGUAACGCGUACCUAAUCUGCCCUUGAGUUGGGAACAACUACGGAGACGUAGCUAAUUCCCAAUAUGCUCACGAUGGUGAAAUUCCGAUGUGAGGAAAGAUUUAUCGCUCAAGGAGGGGGGUGCGUCCUAUCAGGUUGUUGGUAGAGUAAUAGCCUACCAAGCCUAUGACGGGUAGCCGGUCUGAGAGGAUGUCCGGCCGCGAUGGGACUGAGAUACGGCCCAUACUCCUACGGGAGGCAGCAGUGGGGAAUUUUGCACAAUGGACGCAAGUCUGAUGCAGCGAUUCCGCGUGGAGGAUGAAGCAUUACGGUGUGUAAACUCCUUUUCUGGUGGAAGACGAAUGACGGUACACCAGGAAUAAGAGACGGCUAACUACGUGCCAGCAGCCGCGGUAAUACGUAGGUCUCAAGCGUUAUCCGGAUUUACUGGGCGUAAAGAGUCCGUAGCCCGAUAUGUAAGUCAGUUUUCAAAUACCCCGACUCAAUCGGGGAAAGGGAAUAGAUACUGCAUAUCUAGAGAGUAUUGGAGGUUAGUGGAAUUUCCGGUGGAGCGGUGAAAUGCGUUGAUAUCGGAAAGAACGCCGAAAGUGAAAGCAGCUAACUAUGAUCACUCUGACGGUGAGGGACGACAGCAUGGGGAGCAAACGGGAUUAGAUACCCCGGUAGUCCAUGCCGUAAAUUAUGUCUGCUAGGUGUUUCUCCGGUAAUUAUAUUUGUCUCGUAUAAAUGUAAUUACCGGAGGAGUGCCGUAAUCUAACGAGUUAAGCAGAUCGCCUGGGUAGUAUAUUCGCAAGAAUGAAACUCA